rnacentral:rRNA from 1 species
CGGGGCGAGGAGCAAUCCUUGCCGCCGGCGACCGGCGCACGGGUGAGUAACGCGUAUGCGACCUGCCCGUUGCAGGGGGAUAAUCGGGAGAAAUCCCGUCUAAUACCGCGUAACGCCGCGGGGCUGCAUGGCCCUGCGGCCAAAGGGAGCGAUUCCGGCAACGGAUGGGCAUGCGUGACAUUAGCUAGUUGGCGGGGCAACGGCCCACCAAGGCGACGAUGUCUAGGGGUUCUGAGAGGAAGGUCCCCCACACUGGUACUGAGACACGGACCAGACUCCUACGGGAGGCAGCAGUGAGGAAUAUUGGUCAAUGGGCGCGAGCCUGAACCAGCCAAGUCGCGUGAGGGAUGACGGCCCUACGGGUUGUAAACCUCUUUUGUCGGGGAGCAAAUUCCGUUACGUGUAACGGAGUCGAGAGUACCCGAAGAAAAAGCAUCGGCUAACUCCGUGCCAGCAGCCGCGGUAAUACGGAGGAUGCGAGCGUUAUCCGGAUUUAUUGGGUUUAAAGGGUGCGUAGGCGGACUGUCAAGUCAGCGGUAAAAUACGGGGGCUCAACCUCCGCCCGCCGUUGAAACUGACGGUCUUGAGUGGGCGAGAAGUAUGCGGAAUGCGUGGUGUAGCGGUGAAAUGCAUAGAUAUCACGCAGAACUCCGAUUGCGAAGGCAGCAUACCGGCGCCCAACUGACGCUGAAGCACGAAAGCGUGGGUAUCGAACAGGAUUAGAUACCCUGGUAGUCCACGCAGUAAACGAUGAAUAC